GAGAGUGUGGCUCAGUGGCUGAGUCCCCGCCUCGCACAUGGGAGGCACUGGGUUCCAUCCUCAGCACCACA
rnacentral:tRNA from 1 species